UAUACAUAUAAAUAUAAGUGUGUGUGUAUGUAUGUGUAUAUAUAUAUAUAUAUAUAUAUAUAUAUAUAUAUAUAUAUAUACAUACACACACAGACAUAUAUAUAUAUAUAUAUAUA
rnacentral:miRNA from 10 species